AUAAACAACUUGAUGCAGAUGUUUCCCCCAAGCCCACUAUUUUUCUUCCUUCGAUUGCUGAAACAAAACUCCAGAAGGCUGGAACAUACCUUUGUCUUCUUGAGAAAUUUUUCCCAGAUAUUAUUAAGAUACAUUGGCAAGAAAAGAAGAGCAACACGAUUCUGGGAUCCCAGGAGGGGAACACCAUGAAGACUAACGACACAUACAUGAAAUUUAGCUGGUUAACGGUGCCAGAAGAGUCACUGGACAAAGAACACAGAUGUAUCGUCAGACAUGAGAAUAAUAAAAACGGAAUUGAUCAAGAAAUUAUCUUUCCUCCAAUAAAGACAGAUGUCACCACAGUGGAUCCCAAAUACAAUUAUUCAAAGGAUGCAAAUGAUGUCAUCACAAUGGAUCCCAAAGACAAUUGGUCAAAAGAUGCAAAUGAUACACUACUGCUGCAGCUCACAAACACCUCUGCAUAUUACACGUACCUCCUCCUGCUCCUCAAGAGUGUGGUCUAUUUUGCCAUCAUCACCUGCUGUCUGCUUAGAAGAACGGCUUUCUGCUGCAAUGGAGAGAAAUCAUAA